GACGAACGCUGGCGGCGUGCUUAACACAUGCAAGUCGAACGGAAAGGCCCUGCUUGCGGGGCACUCGAGUGGCGAACGGGUGAGUAACUCGUGGGUGAUCUGCCCUCCCAUUCGGGAUAGGCCUCUUAAACUGGGUCUAAUACCGGACAGAAGCCAUUUUUAGCGGGAUGGUUGGAAAGUUUUUUCGGUGUAGGAUGAGCCCGCGGCCUAUCAGCUUGUUGGUGGGGUAAUGGCGUACCAAGGCGGCGACGGGUAGCCGGCCUGAGAGGGUGGACGGCCACAUAGGGACUGAGAUACGGCCCAGACACCUACGGGAGGCAGCAGUGGGGAAUAUUGCACAAUGGGCGCAAGCCUGAUGCAGCGACGCCGCGUGGGGGAUGACGGCAUUCGGGUUGUAAACGCCUUUCGCUAGGGACGAAGCUUUUUGUGACGGUACCUAGAGAAGAAGCACCGGCUAACUACGUG
rnacentral:rRNA from 1 species